rnacentral:rRNA from 1 species
UCCGUAGGUGGAUAAUUAAGUCAGAGGUGAAAGUUUGCGGCUCAACCGUAAAAUUGCCUUUGAUACUGGUUAUCUUGAAUCAUUGUGAAGUGGUUAGAAUAUGUAGUGUAGCGGUGAAAUGCAUAGAUAUUACAUAGAAUACCAAUUGCGAAGGCAGAUCACUAACAAUGUAUUGACACUGAUGGACGAAAGCGUGGGGAGCGAACAGGAUUAGAUACCCUGGUAGUC